GAAAUUAUCAAAACUUGGGGUCAGCUCCUCUGCUUCUCUUUCCGUACUUUUCUUCCUUUCUUCUUCAGCUCCAAUAACCCUAAAAUCUAAAAGCCUCCACCGCUGGCAUUUGAGAUUCACCGAUCGUCGCUUAAUCAAGGUUGCCGUUAGUCACUUGUCCUUCAAUCUCUAGCCUCCACUGCCGCAACACCACCAGUUUCUUCAGAUUUCAAGGUUCAAUCAAGUAAUUAACACGCUGGUGAACCGAAGCUAAAUCUGUUCCAGCCUUGAAAUUGGAAGAUCAAUACAUCACUGAUUUCAAGGAGUUAGGAAAAGCAUUGCCUUUAGCAGAAGUACAACAGGAGGAUUUGCUUGACAGUUCUAUUCAAAAUGUGAAGAAUGCGGUACUUUUGACCCUGUUGUCUGACCAUUUACAGAUCCCAAUCGCAUUCCUUGGCUCAGUGAUUUCAACGCACUGCUGCAAGAGCUGGAACUGCCCAACCAGUUUCAGUAGAUAAUCUCAAUGAGAAAAGGCCUGUCGUGCUCUCCGAUGCAGAGGCAGCAUUUAAGACUUUAGCAUGGAGGCUUUCAGAUUCAGCUUUUUUUGCUCCUAGAACAGGCAAGGAACGCGUCAGUUUAUGAUGCAAAAUUGGUUGGAUGUACUUCAAUCAUACGCAGAAUUUUGGUUUGUUUUAGGAAAAGAAGAAAAAUUAAAAAAAAAACAACAAACAAACAAAACAAAACAAAAGAAGGAAAAUUAAGAAAAAUAAAAAAAUCAUUCUAAUCAUUUUGUUUCAUCAGAACCACUAUUAACCCAUUUUUACAUCCAUCCUCAUUAACAUUUCUUCCCAUUUUGGUAAAAAAUUCAUCAUUGAUAGCCCAUGCAUACUUCUUGUCUUUGGAAGAAAAAAUCAUCAUUUGGCCCAACUUAACACUCCUAGUCAAGACAUCACUCGGCUCUCUCUGGGGGAAAAGGAGGAAAAAAAAAACACACACAAAAAGGCUCUACUGUUGGCUACAAAAAUCUCCUCUCUCGGCUCUCUCCCACAGGACAGAAGACAAGCCAUAACAAGAAAAAAAAAAAGAAAAACUCCUCUUUCCAUUCGCUCCCUCUCUUUUCCUAAUAUACACACACAGAAUCAAGCACAAGAAAGCAAGCAAUCGGACGCGAGGAGAUUGGAAUUUCAUCAACAAUUUUAACUAAGGUCAUAAGAGGUGUUUAUGGUUGAGAUCGAGGAAAAAGUGCAAUUCAACUUGCAAAUUUGGAGAUUAGUCACGAAUAAAAAUGGAGCAAUAAUGCUACAUUGCAAAGUGGAGGAUCGGCUAUUUGCUCAAAAGGAGUACAUACUUUAGCAGCCAACUUGAAAAA